rnacentral:rRNA from 1 species
GGGUUUGAUCCUGGCUCAGGACGAACGCUGGCGGCGUGCUUAACACAUGCAAGUCGAACGGAAAGGCCCUGCUUGCAGGGUACUCGAGUGGCGAACGGGUGAGUAACACGUGGGUGAUCUGCCCUGCACUUCGGGAUAAGCCUGGGAAACUGGGUCUAAUACCGGAUAGGAGCCAUUUUUAGUGUGAUGGUUGGAAAGUUUUUUCGGUGUAGGAUGAGCUCGCGGCCUAUCAGCUUGUUGGUGGGGUAAUGGCCUACCAAGGCGGCGACGGGUAGCCGGCCUGAGAGGGUGGACGGCCACAUUGGGACUGAGAUACGGCCCAGACUCCUACGGGAGGCAGCAGUGGGGAAUAUUGCACAAUGGGCGCAAGCCUGAUGCAGCGACGCCGCGUGGGGGAUGACGGCCUUCGGGUUGUAAACUCCUUUCGCUAGGGACGAAGCUUUUUGUGACGGUACCUAGAUAAGAAGCACCGGCUAACUACGUGCCAGCAGCCGCGGUAAUACGUAGGGUGCGAGCGUUGUCCGGAAUUACUGGGCGUAAAGGGCUCGUAGGUGGUUUGUCGCGUCGUCUGUGAAAUUCCGGGGCUUAACUCCGGGCGUGCAGGCGAUACGGGCAUAACUUGAGUACUGUAGGGGUAACUGGAAUUCCUGGUGUAGCGGUGAAAUGCGCAGAUAUCAGGAGGAACACCGAUGGCGAAGGCAGGUUACUGGGCAGUUACUGACGCUGAGGAGCGAAAGCAUGGGUAGCGAACAGGAUUAGAUACCCUGGUAGUCCAUGCCGUAAACGGUGGGCGCUAGGUGUGAGGGUCUUUUCACGACUUUCGUGCCGUAGCUAACGCAUUAAGCGCCCCGCCUGGGGAGUACGGCCGCAAGGCUAAAACUCAAAGGAAUUGACGGGGGGCCCGCACAAGCGGCGGAACAUGUGGAUUAAUUCGAUGCAACGCGAAGAACCUUACCUGGNCUUGACAUA